AUUGAACGCUGGCGGCAGGCCUCACACAUGCAAGUCGAACGAGUGGCGGACGGGUGAGUAAUGUCUGGGAAACUGCCCGAUGGAGGGGGAUAACUACUGGAAACGGUAGCUAAUACCGCAUACCAUCGGAUGUGCCCAGAUGGGAUUAGCUAGUAGGUGGGUUAACCGCUCACCUAGGCGACGAUCCCUAGCUGGUCUGAGCGGAUGACCAACCCCACUGUAACUGAUACACGUUCCAGUCUCCUACGGGAGUCAGCAGUGGGGAAUAUUUCACGAUGGGCGCAAGCCUGAUGCAUCCAUGCCUCGUGUAUUAAGAAGGCCUUCGGGUUUUAAAGUACUUUCAGCGAGGAGGCGUUACUCGCAGAAGAAGCACCGGCUAACUCCGUGCCAGCAGCCGCGGUAAUUC
rnacentral:rRNA from 1 species